rnacentral:lncRNA from 1 species
UAAAAUAAUUUGAUUAAAAUUUAAAAUUAAAGUCUAGAAUUCAAAUUUAAAUAAAAAUAAAAUUUAAAUAUUUAAAUUUAAAUAUAAAGUUAUAAAUUUGAAUUUAAAAUUUUAUGCUGAAUUUUAAUUUACAGAUAAAAUUCAAAAUCAGAUCAUAAUUUUAAUUCAAUUUUAAAAUAAAAUUGAACUUUAAAAAUAAAUUUAAAUAUUAAAGUUAAUAUCAAAUAUGACAUUUUAGCUAAGUUCUCCACUUUCGAUGACUUCCGAAUUUUUUGAGCCGAAGUCAAAAAAGUAAAAUUUAGUCAUAACUCACUUUAUAAGUCUACUUUCAUAAAGUGACUUUCAUAUCCAUUUUUGUAAACCGAACAACCAAUAAGACGUCAUUUUUUAAAAUACCACUUUCGAUGCUUCACUUUUCGCAAACCGAACAUGCCUAAAGUGAAAUGUAUGAUCCCAC